AUACUCUGAUUUCUCUUCAGAUCGCAUAAAUCUUCGCCUUUUACUCAAGAUUUCCGUGGAGGAGGAAUGGCCAAAGGAACCCACUCAG
rnacentral:snRNA from 1 species